GGCAGAAUGGCCGAGCGGUCUAAGGCGUGUGACUCAAGCAAUGGCGCAGUAUUACGUCAGCUUGCCCAGAUGUGGGUUUCUCAUCAUCGUAUGAUGGCAGGGGUUCGAAUCCCCUUUCUGUCA